GAACAGCUCUGUGGAGCCCUAGGAAUCUGCAGCAGGCACUUGAAGCCAACAGGUUGUUUGCCUUGAGUGUUUUGUCACAGAGAUGGAAAGCUGAGUGAUGCAAUGAGGAAACGUGCCUCUGGUCCAAUUUGAGAUGAACAGCAUGUGAAAGAAACCCAAACUUGAUCUCGGCCUGGAGCCCAGUCCAUUUGGCAGUAAUCCAACACCUAGUGCCAUGGUGACAGUCUCUAUAAAAGUCUCUAGGCUGCUUUCGGCACAUCUACGGAUGCAGUGGGAGGCUGGCACAGAUCUGGACCAAUAGAAGAAAGGUGUGUUUAGCCUUGGCCUGGUUACAAAGAGCAUCUUUUUUCUUCCCUUUGAAAUGGGCCUUCCUGUCCCCAAUUCAGCAUCAUCCAGUGUUGUGCUAAUGUGGGUUAAUUUCCAAUCAGCUCCUAGAAAGAGUGUAUUUCCAGUCUCUCCUGGGGCAAAGGAGAAUGAGAAGCAGAUAAGGCCAGCUUCUGUGCCCCACAGAAGAGACAGCAUUUCUAGGAGGAGGGG
rnacentral:lncRNA from 1 species